AGAGUUUGAUCCUGGCUCAGGACGAACGCUGGCGGCGUGCCUAAUACAUGCAAGUCGAGCGAAGAGAUGGGAGCUUGCUCCCUGAUCUUAGCGGCGGACGGGUGAGUAACACAUGGGCAACCUGCCCUGCAGACUGGGAUAACUCCGGGAAACCGGAGCUAAUACCGGGUAAUACAUCGCACCGCAUGGUGCAAUGUUGAAAGUUGGCUUUCGAGCUAACACUGCAGGAUGGGCCCGCGGCGCAUUAGCUAGUUGGUAAGGUAAUGGCUUACCAAGGCGACGAUGCGUAGCCGACCUGAGAGGGUGAUCGGCCACACUGGGACUGAGACACGGCCCAGACUCCUACGGGAGGCAGCAGUAGGGAAUCUUCCGCAAUGGACGAAAGUCUGACGGAGCAACGCCGCGUGAGUGACGAAGGCCUUCGGGUCGUAAAGCUCUGUUGUUAGGGAAGAACAAGUACCGUUCGAAUAGGGCGGUACCUUGACGGUACCUAACCAGAAAGCCACGGCUAACUACGUGCCAGCAGCCGCGGUAAUACGUAGGUGGCAAGCGUUGUCCGGAAUUAUUGGGCGUAAAGCGCGCGCAGGCGGUCUUUUAAGUCUGAUGUGAAAGCCCACGGCUCAACCGUGGAGGGUCAUUGGAAACUGGAGGACUUGAGUGCAGAAGAGGAGAGUGGAAUUCCACGUGUAGCGGUGAAAUGCGUAG
rnacentral:rRNA from 1 species